GACGAACGCUGGCGGUGUGCUUAACACAUGCAAGUCGAACGGUAAGGCCCUUUCGGGGGUACACGAGUGGCGAACGGGUGCGUAACACGUGAGUAACCUGCCCUCAUCUCUGGGAUAACAGUCGGAAACGGUUGCUAAUACUGGAUAUGAGCUUGCAAGGCAUCUUGUGGGUUGGAAAGAUUUUUUUGGUUGGGGAUGGACUCGCGGCCUAUCAGCUUGUUGGUGAGGUAGUGGCUCACCAAGGCUUCGACGGGUAGCCGGCCUGAGAGGGCGACCGGCCACAUUGGGACUGAGAUACGGCCCAAACUCCUACGGGAGGCAGCAGUGGGGAAUAUUGCACAAUGGACGGAAGUCUGAUGCAGCAACGCCGCGUGCGGGAUGACGGCCUUCGGGUUGUAAACCGCUUUCAAUUGUGACGAAGCUUUUUGUGACGGUAGCAGUAGAAGAAGCACCGGCUAACUACGUG
rnacentral:rRNA from 1 species